GACCACGUAGCUCAGUUGGCAGAGCAUUGGGCUGGUAUUCCAAACGUUGUAGAUUCGAUUCCCACCGUGGCCA
rnacentral:tRNA from 1 species